rnacentral:rRNA from 1 species
GUGGGGAAUAUUGGACAAUGGGCGCAAGCCUGAUCCAGCCAUGCCGCGUGAGUGAUGAAGGCCUUAGGGUUGUAAAGCUCUUUCACCGAUGAAGAUAAUGACGGUAGUCGGAGAAGAAGCCCCGGCUAACUUCGUGCCAGCAGCCGCGGUAAUACGAAGGGGGCUAGCGUUGUUCGGAUUUACUGGGCGUAAAGCGCACGUAGGCGGUUUGUUAAGUCAGAGGUGAAAUCCCGGAGCUCAACUCCGGAACUGCCUUUAAUACUGGCAAGCUAGAGUCCGGAAGAGGUAAGUGGAACUCCUAGUGUAGAGGUGGAAUUCGUAGAUAUUAGGAAGAACACCAGUGGCGAAGGCGGCUUACUGGUCCGGAACUGACGCUGAGGUGCGAAAGCGUGGGGAGCAAACAGGAUUAGAAACCCUAGUAGUCC